rnacentral:rRNA from 1 species
UAAGCAUAUCAAUAAGCGGAGGAAAAGAAACCAACAGGGAUUGCCCUAGUAACGGCGAGUGAAGCGGCAACAGCUCAAAUUUGAAAUCUGGCUCUUUCAGAGUCCGAGUUGUAAUUUGCAGAGGGCGCUUUGGCUUUGGCAGCGGUCCAAGUUCCUUGGAACAGGACGUCACAGAGGGUGAGAAUCCCGUACGUGGUCGCUAGCUAUUGCCGUGUAAAGCCCCUUCGACGAGUCGAGUUGUUUGGGAAUGCAGCUCUAAAUGGGAGGUAAAUUUCUUCUAAAGCUAAAUAUUGGCCAGAGACCGAUAGCGCACAAGUAGAGUGAUCGAAAGAUGAAAAGCACUUUGGAAAGAGAGUCAAACAGCACGUGAAAUUGUUGAAAGGGAAGCGCUUGCAGCCAGACUUGCUUGCAGUUGCUCAUCCGGGCUUUUGCCCGGUGCACUCUUCUGUAGGCAGGCCAGCAUCAGUUUGGGCGGUGGGAUAAAGGUCUCUGUCACGUACCUCUCUUCGGGGAGGCCUUAUAGGGGAGACGACAUACCACCAGCCUAGACUGAGGUCCGCGCAUCUGCUAGGAUGCUGGCGUAAUGGCUGUAAGCGGCCCGUCUUGAAACACGGACCAAGGAGUCUAACAUCUAUGCGAGUGUUUGGGUGUCAAGCCCGAGCGCGUAAUGAAAGUGAACGGAGGUGGGAACCCGCAAGGGUGCACCAUCGACCGAUCCUGAAGUUUACGGAAGGAUUUGAGUAAGAGCAUGGCUGUUGGGACCCGAAAGAUGGUGAACUAUGCUUGAAUAGGGUGAAGCCAGAGGAAACUCUGGUGGAGGCUCGCAGCGGUUCUGACGUGCAAAUCGAUCGUCAAAUUUGGGCAUAGGGGCGAAAAACUAAUCGAACUAUCUUGUAGCUGGUUCCUGCCGAAUU